UAUAUGCCGAGGUUUUCUGAGGAACGAACUCGUCUAGUCUGUGUCCAUUGUAAGAGAUUUCACCUGAACACUGUGGAAGGAAAAAGGAAAAGGAGGACCAAGCAACAGUGUUAACCUGCAACAAGAAGAAGAAUUAACACACUUAAAACAUUGAUCAAGACUAGUGAACUUUUUGAGUACUCACAGAGAAAAUGCGCUUGGCAGUGUUCCACAGUGUUGGAAGUGCCUUCCCUUCAACAAUCUCGCACUCGGCCUCUA